rnacentral:lncRNA from 1 species
CUGCAAGAAGACUACAGAUGCUAUCAAUGUGGCCUUAACUGUAUUUCCGUGAGGUUUAUCGCCUGCAUGGAUUGUCGACAUCUAUUGUGUCUGGUCGGGAUACUCAUUUCCUCAACUACUUUUGGCGCAGUUUAUGGUGCUCGGUGAAUACACAGUUGGACUUCAGCGGUGCAUAUCACCCUCAAAUAGAUGGUCAAACAAAGGUUGUUAAUCAUUCCUUGGGUGAUUUACUACAUUGGUUGGUUGGUGAUCACAUCAAGUCUUGGGAUCAGAAGUUGUGUCAAGCAGAAUUUGCUCACAAUCAUGCUUUUAACCGAAGUACAGGUUUUAGUCCAUUCCAGGUGGUGUAUGGACUUGUUCCACGUCAUCCUCUUGAUCUAGUUCCAGUUUCUACUUCUGUUAAAAUGCAUAGUAAGGUCGAAGACUUUAUUCAGCAAUUGCAGCAGGUUCACUCACAAGCUCAUGAUCAGUUGCAGGCUGCUAUCACUGAGUAUAAGCGUGCUGCGGAUCUUAAAUGCCGACAUGUUGAAUUUAGGUAGAUGACUUUGUUUGGAUGGUGUUAACAAAGGAUCGUGUUCCUGCUCAUGAAUACAACAAGCUUACUACAAAAAAGAUUGGUCCAUUGAAGGUCAUUGAGAAGAUCAAUCCGAAUGCUUAUCGUUUGAAGCUGCCCAACCAUAUUCGUACAUCCGACGUGUUCAAUAUCAAGCAUUUGGUGCCAUUUCGUGGUGAUAAUUCCGAUGAUGAUGAAGCUCCUUUCCUGUCAAAUUCGAGGGUGAAUUUUUCCCACCUUUGGGAGAAUGAUGAAGUGCAUAAGGGAUUAGAGUUUAUGAUGAAAUGGGACCGUCACAAGGCAUAAAAGUGGUUUUUGAUUUCAUGAUAACUUCGGGUUUGUUCGUUUUUGGCAAAUUGCUAGUCUAUUUCGAUUGGAAUCGAGCCAAUGAAUAAAUUUUUGGCAAAAUCCAAUGUUUAGGCCCUCGUUUAGGCGUUUUUGCUAUUUAUGGUAAUUUUUGUUUUUGCAAUAUCUCUUUCCAUAAAAUUCGG